rnacentral:precursor_RNA from 1 species
AUCGGAGGAGCAGUGCCUGCCCAGCGCCCACCCAGGCUUCCCUUGUAGAACAAAGAAAAAAUUCUCACGUAGCUGGGCUCCCGUAUACGCGCGCCCGGCCGGCCUCCUCCACAGCCAGGGCAGGACUCGACCGCGCGGGGCCGGCCGGAACAAGAGACCUAUUUUGCAUCCAUGAUUAAUCUUUUCUGUGUUGAUUUAACUAUACAAUAAGCUCAAUAGAUGCUUUCCUGUCAAGUACCUGUAAAAAUAUAAAACGAUUUUUUUUCCAGAUAAAAAACACGGAGUACAAAUGAGCAUGGCUAUAUUUUAGGCGUCUGAUUUUUAAGGAAAAAACUUCAAAAUAGUCGCCGCAUCAGAACGUGUUGUCCUUGGUUAAGAUUCGAUGAUCAAACACGUCCACUGAUCUCUGACUAAACUAAAAAAAAGAUGACUUCUUAAUAGCAAAACCGAAAGUACUCUUCAUAAUUUUAUGGAACAAAUAUAGACCUAAAAUUAUUCUAGUUUCAGGUUGCUUCGAGUUGAAGAUGUACGCAAAAUCCUCAAAGCACUAGAGCCUUAGGGAAUAUCUACACUAGUAAGUUCUUUUCCUUUCUUCUGGACAUGCUUAGCAGUGUAGAUACUCCCUAAGGCUUCGGUCGUAUUGGAUUGUUGUGGACAUUUGAGAAUCGUUGCAUGCAAAAGUGCUAAGCAUGCCCAACCUCCCCAGUGCCUGACACCUCCACCGCUCGUGGCUGCCUCGCGAUUCGGACACAGCUGCCAUUUUCCCCCACGCCUGAUUUUUCAUCCGCGUUUCUCACCUGUUUAAUCCUUCGAUAAAGCUGACCUCCCCUCCUGCGCCUCUGCUCCAUCCAGAGCACCUCAGGCCUACAUUGCUAGGAUGUAGCAUGUUACCGUUGCCGGCCGGACGCCCGUGACCCUUCAUUAUUUGGCGAUGCCGACGGCGACACCUUUCAACACCCCCACCCCCUCAGACGAUCAGCGGCUAUGGUGGUGGACGAGCCGUACUGGUGUCCUUUCCCGAUGGUGAGGUACCUCCUGUCGCCGGCCGCCUCCCACCGCCUGCCCUUAAGCCAGAGCAUGGCGCAAGGGUUCAUGGCUCCGGGCGUCCCUCUCUCCUCUUCAAAGCUGACCACCGCAUCUUCCGCGCCAUUGCGUUCAUGUGCCACCAUGGCAUCGAUGUCGACGCCGUCCCAGGAGAGGAGGCGGCACGGGUCGGCACGGAAAGAGGGCGCUGCAGUGGCGCGUCCCAGGAGAGCAGCAGGCCAGGGCAACGGGCCUCGGAAUGCUGAGGUCCAGUCGCCGACGGCCACGAGGUUCCUGUGGGCGCGGAGGGAUGCCUUCCUAGCCGCCCGCCGUCAUCUUCUUCCGGCAGGUGAACAGCGGCGGCACCACGUCAAUCGGCUCAGCAAAACAGGUUCUUCCCGCUGAGCUCGGAGUCAGGGGCCUGGUUCGGCCAUUGCUACAUACCCAGGCACUGCCUCGUGCUCCUGAUUGGCAACGGCCAGUGCCCCAUAGUCAAUAGUGGAAUCCCUUGAAUGUUGGUCAGUAAGCUGCUGCAGAUUUCUUGCAAUUUGUGUUUGAUUUGAUUUCUGAAUAAUUUUUAUUUCUUGCUUCGUCGUCAAAAAAAAAAAAA